UACGUAGGGUGCGAGCGUUAAUCGGAAUUACUGGGCGUAAAGCGUGCGCAGGCGGUUUUGUAAGCCAGAUGUGAAAGCCCCGGGCUUAACCUGGGAAUGGCAUUUGGGACUGCAAGGCUGGAGUGUGGCAGAGGAGACUGGAAUUCCUGGUGUAGCAGUGAAAUGCGUAGAUAUCAGGAGGAACACCGGUGGCGAAGGCGGGUCUCUGGGCCGUAACUGACGCUGAGGAGCGAAAGCAUGGGGAGCGAACAGG
rnacentral:rRNA from 1 species